rnacentral:lncRNA from 1 species
GAGCGCCAGCUCCCUGGGCCCUGCACUCUAUACCCACUGGCUCUUUGGGGGCUCCACAUCCUGCUGCUGAAGGAAUCAUGCUCCCCAUCUCCCAGGGGUCACCCUGAGCCUCUGGGAGGCACAGCCACAGGGCCACAGCUGCAUGGCUCACGGUCAGUGCCCACAGGGCCACAGAGCCAGACUCCCGGGCUGCUCUUUGAAUCAUGGAGACCCUGAUCUCUCCUGGUGCCUGCAGGCUUCUUGGAACCCAUGGGUCAGAGUUCAGUCAGGACACAGGAACCGCAGCACAGUGAUCUGAAGGGGUGGCAUUUAUUAUAAAGAAAGAGCUAUGGGAGGGGAGUGGCUGGUGGGAGGCAGGAGCCAACAUGAACAGAAUCCUAGGGCUGACACCACCUUGGAAGGUGGGGUUCAGGCCUCGUGGAGGUCUGUGGUUGCAGCCCGCCCCGCCCCCCGCGUUGGCAGAGACCACGGUUGCUUCCUGGAGGAGCCCAUGCUGGACACACCUGUCAGGAUCCAAGGGAGAGCGAGGGGGGACUACUGCAGGUGGAGCAUCAGGAGGGUCACAGCAAGGUGGUCACCAGACCCAGGACGGGCUUGCUGCGGGUCAUGCAGGCUGGGGCACAGCUGGGGCGAUGCCUACUGGCUUCCUCCCUCUGAGAGAAGGUUGCAGAAGGAGCAGGAAGAUGCCCAACAGCUUUCUUGCCGUGUCCCUCCAGCGCCCUCUACUGACGACGCCGAACACCGUGACCCUGUGCAGAAGGCCCCUGAGCCCCAUCCAGCAAGGGCUCGCAGGGGAAUCCACAGCCCAGACGCAGUAACGGACUGUGGGCCUGCAAACUACCGCCACAGGGCCACAUCGGGGAUGCUGCCUGUUAUUGUGCAGCUCAGGAUCUAAGAAGUUUUUUUGAACCUUUUUAAAUGAUUAAAAAAUAAUUUAGAGAAGAAUAA